CGUGUAUGAACCCUUGUCAAGAGUGCGACUAGGACGCCUGUGGCAGCUGCUCCGUCUCCACCGCACACGAUCGCACCCCGAUUGAGGGAUUCUCCGGCUGCCCCUUCUCAUAUAGUUCAUCCAGAUCUCGGAGAUUCAUUCCGGUUUCCGAUGGCUCAGCCUCACGUAAACAAAGACGACAAUCGUGACGAUGAAAGGGGCCACCUGAAGUAUCCAAGUAGAAAAGUUAAAAGGGUUCUGUCUUAGAUUAAUGUUACUUCAAAACAGAGGCAACUAGGGGAAGACAGACCUGGCCGGCAACAAAUUGAAUGACUUGGUCUUCAGUGCUCAGUUCAGUACUAGCUGCUCUCACUACAUAUGCCAUUGGAUUUGUCCUGCUUCUUCGUCUUCAACCCUGCAUUUAAACACGGAGCAAUGGAAAGACCGGAGGCUCUCACCCGUUUUGAAAUUAUCAUUUAAACACGGAAACAACUUUGGCUGCACAGACUUGUGUUCUACUUACCGGCUUGGGAGUUAUAUCUCAAUCAUUUGUAGUUUUGUACUGCUACCUAGCUUCUUGUUCAAUAGUUCAGUUCGUAACGGGAAAGCAACAAAACAAUAUAUUUACCUUUC